GUUAGAAAAACCAAUCGUAAAACCAUUUUUCCGAUCCAUAGGUGUGUUUUAAACUUGCAUUUCUAUAAGAACUGUCAACAUGAAGGCCGCUAUACUCUUCAUACUUUUGGUGACCGAUUUCGUCAAGAUUAUCAAAAGCGGACUUCCGAAGCAGCCUGACGCAGGAGCUAAGCACGCGUGUACCGCUAACUGCAAAGGGCUGCAUGUAGGAUCAGCAUGUGGUACGGGCUGUCACUGCAGUCAGCACCGCCUGUUCGCUAUUAUUUUAGUGUGCCUGGCUGACAGCUCCAGAACACCAACUGGCAUUGUUCGUCCGCAUCGUGGAAGAGGGUAGCUCAUACGGGCUCUUCAUUAUUCUGGUGGAAGUCUCAAUAUGCACGGAUAUUACUACUCAUACCUUAGCGCUUAUAAUAAAGCUGGGGUACUUGUGCAAAGGAA